rnacentral:rRNA from 1 species
GAUGAACGCUAGCGGCAGGCCUAACACAUGCAAGUCGAGGGAGAAGCCCUUUCGGGGGCAGAAACCGGCGCACGGGUGCGUAACGCGUAUGCAACCUACCUUUCACAGGGGGAUAGCCCGAAGAAAUUUGGAUUAAUACCCCAUAAUAUUAUUGGAUGGCAUCAUUUGAUAAUUAAAACUGCGGUGGUGAAAGAUGGGCAUGCGUCCUAUUAGCUAGUUGGCGUGGUAACGGCACCCCAAGGCUACGAUAGGUAGGGGUCCUGAGAGGGAGAUCCCCCACACUGGUACUGAGACAGGGACCAGACUCCUACGGGAGGCAGCAGUGAGGAAUAUUGGUCAAUGGUCGGAAGACUGAACCAGCCAUGCCGCGUGCAGGAAGAAUGCCUUAUGGGUUGUAAACCGCUUUUAUAUGGGAAGAAUAAGGUGUACGUGUACAUUGAUGACGGUACCAUAUGAAUAAGCAUCGGCUAACUCCGUG